UACAGAGGGGGCAAGCGUUGUUCGGAAUUACUGGGCGUAAAGGGCGCGUAGGCGGCCCGCUAAGUCGAACGUGAAAUCCCCGGGCUCAACCCGGGAACUGCGUCCGAUACUGGCAGGCUUGAAUCCGGGAGAGGGAUGCGGAAUUCCAGGUGUAGCGGUGAAAUGCGUAGAUAUCUGGAGGAAUACCGGUGGCGAAGGCGGCAUCCUGGACCAUAACUGACGCUGAGGCGCGAAAGCUAGGGGAGCAAACGGG
rnacentral:rRNA from 1 species